rnacentral:rRNA from 1 species
CUAUUAGCAAUUAUUAAUAGUAAAAUCUGCUCCAUGUYCAAUAAAUAGCCGCAAUUUGUGCUAAGGUAGCAUAAUCAUUUGUCUUUUAAAUGAAGACUAGAACAAAAGAUUCAACAUUUUCAGUUUAUUUGCCUAAUUUAUCUAAUUAAAUUUAUCCUAAAUGUAAAAAGACAUUUAUUUAAAAGAAAGACGAUAAGACCCUAUUGAACUUAACUGUAGUUAAACUGGGGCAGUAAAUUAAUUAUUAUUUUAAUAUAAAUUACUACAUAAAUAUCUAAUAUCAUUAAAUAAUUCAGUUACCAUAGGGAUAACAGCGUAAUAAUUUUCUAAAGACCUUAUUUAAAAUAAAGAUUACGACCUCGAUGUUGAAUUAAUAACCUAAUUAAGGCAAAACUUAAAAAAGGAAGUCUGUUCGACUUUUAAAAAAUUACAUGAUUUGAGUUCAGACCGGUGUAAGCCAGGUCGGCUUCUAUCUUCUAAAAAAUUUYUUACAGUACGAAAGGACCUAARAAUCUAAUA